AUUGAACGCUGGCGGCGUGCCUAACACAUGCAAGUCGAGCGGUAACAGGUGUAGCAAUACAUGCUGACGAGCGGCGAACGGGUGAGUAAUGCUUCGGAAUCUGCCCAAUGGUGGGGAAUAACCAGCCGAAAGGUUGGCUAAUACCGCAUGAGCCCUAAGGGGGAAAGCAGGGGAUCGUAAGACCUUGCGCCGAUGGAUGAGCCGAAGUCGGAUUAGCUAGUUGGCAGGGUAACGGCCUACCAAGGCGACGAUCCGUAGCUGGUCUGAGAGGACGACCAGCCACACUGGGACUGAGACACGGCCCAGACUCCUACGGGAGGCAGCAGUGGGGAAUAUUGGACAAUGGGGGAAACCCUGAUCCAGCGACGCCGCGUGUGUGAAGAAGGCCUGCGGGUUGUAAAGCACUUUUAGUGGGGAUGAAAAGCUCAGGGUUAAUACCUUUGGGUCUUGACCUAACCCACAGAAAAGCACCGGCUAACUCUGUGCCAGCAGCCGCGGUAAU
rnacentral:rRNA from 1 species